rnacentral:rRNA from 51 species
GAGUUUGAUCAUGGCUCAGAUUGAACGCUGGCGGCAUGCCUUACACAUGCAAGUCGAACGGCAGCACGGGAGCUUGCUCCUGGUGGCGAGUGGCGAACGGGUGAGUAAUGCAUCGGAACGUAUCCUGGAGUGGGGGAUAACGUAGCGAAAGUUACGCUAAUACCGCAUAUUCUGUGAGCAGGAAAGCGGGGGACCUUCGGGCCUCGCGCUCUUGGAGCGGCCGAUGUCGGAUUAGCUAGUUGGUGAGGUAAAGGCUCACCAAGGCGACGAUCCGUAGCAGGUCUGAGAGGAUGAUCUGCCACACUGGAACUGAGACACGGUCCAGACUCCUACGGGAGGCAGCAGUGGGGAAUUUUGGACAAUGGGGGCAACCCUGAUCCAGCCAUGCCGCGUGAGUGAAGAAGGCCUCGG